AGCGUUAAUCGGAAUUACUGGGCGUAAAGCGCACGUAGGUGGCGACGUAAGUCGGGUGUGAAAGCCCCGGGCUCAACCUGGGAAUUGCAUUCGAGACUGCAUUGCUGGAGUACGGAAGAGGAGGGCGGAAUUCCCGGUGUAGCGGUGAAAUGCGUAGAUAUCGGGAGGAGCAUCAGUGGCGAAGGCGGCCCUCUGGUCCAGUACUGACACUCAAGUGCGAAAGCGUGGGGAGCAAACAGG
rnacentral:rRNA from 1 species